AUACGUAGGUGGCAAGCGUUGUCCGGAAUUACUGGGCGUAAAGCGUGCGUAGGUGGUUGUUUAAGUCUGUCGUGAAAGCCCUGGGCUCAACCUGGGAAUGGCGAUGGAAACUGGGCGACUAGAGUGUGGCAGAGGGUAGUGGAAUUCCUGGUGUAGCAGUGAAAUGCGUAGAGAUCAGGAGGAACAUCCGUGGCGAAGGCGACUGCCUGGGCCAACACUGACACUGAGGCACGAAAGCGUGGGGAGCAAACAGGAUUAGAUACCCUGGUAGUCCACGCCCUAAACGAUGCGAACUGGAUGUUGGGUGCAAUUUGGCACGCAGUAUCGAAGCUAACGCGUUAAGUUCGCCGCCGGGGGAGUACGGUCGCAAGACUGAAACUCAAAGGAAUUGACGGGG
rnacentral:rRNA from 1 species